rnacentral:tRNA from 1 species
GUUUUUAUAGUUUAAUUAAAAUAUUACACUGAAAAUGUAAAGAUAUAUGUUAAAAACAUUUUUAAUUACA